UGCCGGGGAUGGGCAGCCUAUGCACAAUUCAGUGUCUCCGUCACUCUAGUCCGCGCACAGUGGCAAGUGGUGUUAGAACCAGCACUCACGCAUCACCGCGCAGGGUUCACCAGGAUGGCAUGGAACGUCCAACUAUCCUGGCACCAGCGAGUAGUUAUCUGGGUGCUGCGUCAGGGAGUCAUUCCCCGUCACGCUGCUAUCGCACCAGACGGAAAUCGACGCUACGCCAAGAGCACUGGCAUAGGACCGGGCUCCGCUUACGAUGUCAUGCUUCAAAAGAUAGCUAUGCUGUCUCAAUGCAUGGUGGCUGCCGCAGUCCAGGACGUCUCGUAUGGCGCUUUUAGGACUCCCAACUUCCUCUGCGACGCCUCGGAGACCGACGCUGUCUUUUCUGCGUUGGUCCCGUUCUGCAAAGCAACGCUCUGCAGCUUGUAAGCAUUCUGCGUAGCAUGCAUGCAUAAUUCCAAGUUCCAAUAAAUACUGCUUUCAUUCUUGUU